rnacentral:rRNA from 1 species
GACGAACGCUGGCGGCGUGCCUAAUACAUGCCAGUCGAACGAGAGCGCCCGGUGCUUGCACUGGUCAAUCUAGUGGCGAACGGGUGAGUAACACGUGGGUAACCUGCCCAUCAGAGGGGGAUAACAUCCGGAAACGGAUGCUAAAACCGCAUAGGUCUUCGAACCGCAUGGUUUGAAGAGGAAAAGAGGCGCAAGCUUCUGCUGAUGGAUGGACCCGCGGUGCAUUAGCUAGUUGGUGAGGUAACGGCUCACCAAGGCCGUGAUGCAUAGCCGACCUGAGAGGGUGAUCGGCCACAUUGGAACUGAGACACGGCCCAAACUCCUACGGGAGGCAGCAGUAGGGAAUCUUCCGCAAUGGACGCAAGUCUGACGGAGCAACGCCGCGUGAGUGAAGAAGGUUUUCGGAUCGUAAAACUCUGUUGUUAGAGAAGAACAAGUGCUAGAGUAACUGUUAGCGCCUUGACGGUAUCUAACCAGAAAGCCACGGCUAACUACGUG